CCUACGGGUGGCAGCAGUGGGGAAUAUUGCACAAUGGGGGCAACCCUGAUGCAGCGACGCCGCGUGAGUGAAGAAUUAUCUCGGUACGUAAAGCUCUAUCAGCAGGGGAGAUAAUGACGGUACGUGACCACGAAGCCCCGGCUAACUACGUGCCAGCAGCCGCGGUACUACGUAGGGGGCAAGCGUUAUCCGGAUUUACUGGGUUUAAAGGGAGCAUAGACGGCAGCACAAGUCAGGAGUGAAAUCCCGGGGCUUAAGCACGGAACUGCUUUGGAAACUGUGCGGCUUGAGUGCAGGAGGGGUAAGCGGAAUUCCUAGUGUAGCGGUGAAAUGCGUAGAUAUUAGGAGGAACACCGGGUGCGAAGGCGGCUUACUGGACUGUAACUGACGUUGAGGCUCGAAAGCGUGGGGAGCAAACAGGAUUAGAUACCCUUGUAGUC
rnacentral:rRNA from 1 species